rnacentral:rRNA from 1 species
UACGAAGGGGGCUAGCGUUGUUCGGAUUUACUGGGCGUAAAGCGCACGUAGGCGGAUCGAUCAGUCAGGGGUGAAAUCCCAGGGCUCAACCCUGGAACUGCCUUUGAUACUGUCGAUCUGGAGUAUGGAAGAGGUGAGUGGAAUUCCGAGUGUAGAGGUGAAAUUCGUAGAUAUUCGGAGGAACACCAGUGGCGAAGGCGGCUCACUGGGCCAUUACUGACGCUGAGGUGCGAAAGCGUGGGGAGCAAACAGG